AUGGGACGGGAGAGAGUAGGUUAGGGUACACGAAUACAGUAAAAGAGAUUUAAAUUACGCUGUUUGCGGUAUUAUGCUACUGCAAGUUUUCAACUUAUUCUGGGAAACAGGAUGAAUGUUUCUCAGCCCAGUUUCCCACAUAGUAUUUAGAGUGAGUUUACUAAUGGGCAGUCUGAUGACGGAGUAUAUCAGGUUUCCCAGGGAUUCAGACAAUUCCACUCAAAAUCGCAGGUGAUUCAAUAAUCUGGGACAGGGAAACAGAGCUAUUGGUUUACCAGGUGUGGACGACGCUAUUGAUUGCACCCACAUUAGAUUAACAGCAUUCAACAACAUGGAAGAAAUGUACAGAAAUAGAAAAGGAUAUUUUUCAUUGAAUGUUCAGGCUGUCGUGGGUCCUCGUAUGGAAUUUUCCGUACAUCCCGAUUACACAUGCGAUAUGUGACGGAAGAAUUAGAUGGAAUCCUUGUCGGGGAUAGUGGAUAUCCAUGUCUGCAUUUUCUCAUGACACCGCUGCGGAAUCCACAGACUUAAGAAGAAAUAAGGUACAAUGAAAUCCAGAUCAGGACCCGACCUGAUCAUUAAUGUGGUCUCUUAAUUCUAAAAAUAUAUUCUUAUCUACAAAGUAAAUCAUCAUUUCGUAUGUAAACUUAUUCAUAUUAAAUUGGUCCAAUGUUUUAUUCAUAUGUAUAUAAACGGUUAAUCCAUUUUCAAUUUGUUUGCAAACAUAUACAAGCGUUUCUGAUGGGUAUAGUAAUGACCCCCUGUUUUUAAUAUUUAUUAAAUUACAAUUAACGU